CCUGAUGCAGCAACGCCGCGUGAGGGACGAAGGCCUUCGGGUUGUAAACCUCUUUUAGUAGGGAAGAAGCGAAAGUGACGGUACCUGCAGAAAAAGCACCGGCUAACUACGUGCCAGCAGCCGCGGUAAUACGUAGGGUGCAAGCGUUGUCCGGAAUUAUUGGGCGUAAAGAGCUCGUAGGCGGUUUGUCGCGUCUGCUGUGAAAACUGGAGGCUCAACCUCCAGCCUGCAGUGGGUACGGGCAGACUAGAGUGCGGUAGGGGAGAUUGGAAUUCCUGGUGUAGCGGUGGAAUGCGCAGAUAUCAGGAGGAACACCGAUGGCGAAGGCAGAUCUCUGGGCCGUAACUGACGCUGAGGAGCGAAAGCAUGGGGAGCGAACAGGAUUAGAUACCCUGGUAGUCCAUGCCGUAAACGUUGGGAACUAGAUGUAGGGGCCAUUCCACGGUUUCUGUGUCGCAGCUAACGCAUUAAGUUCCCCGCCUGGGGAGUACGGCCGCAAGGCUAAAACUCAAAGGAAUUGACGGGGGCCCGCACAAGCGGCGGAGCAUGCGGAUUAAUUCGAUGCAACGCGAAGAACCUUACCAAGGCUUGACAUAUACCGGAAACGGCUAGAGAUAGUCGCCCCGCAAGGUCGGUAU
rnacentral:rRNA from 3 species